rnacentral:rRNA from 1 species
CACGUAGGGUGCGAGCGUUGUCCGGAAUUAUUGGGCGUAAAGAGCUCGUAGGCGGUGUGUCACGUCGGCCGUGAAAACCUGCAGCUUAACUGUGGGCUUGCGGUCGAUACGGGCAUCACUGGAGUUCGGCAGGGGAGACUGGAAUUCCUGGUGUAGCGGUGAAAUGCGCAGAUAUCAGGAGGAACACCGGUGGCGAAGGCGGGGUCUCUGGGGCCGAUACUGACGCUGAGGAGCGAAAGCGUGGGGAGCGAACAGG